UGCCGGUCGUUUGUGUGAGCUGCUUGAUCGUGUGGUUUUGUGUUUGCUUUAAUGAAAUGGGACGUAGUUAGCGUGCACAAAAGUGCCAGAAGAUACCUUGUGUUUCGUUGCAAACUCGCCGUAUGCGUGGCGCGCGAGGCAAACAUGGAGCAACGAUUUUUGUGCCGUGGCCUUUGUGUCGGGUUGUCGUGGAAAGUUGGGUGGACAUCGCAAAGAAAUCAUUCCUAUUGGUAGCGUGCCUCAGAUCGUCCACUACGCAGCGGCAUGUAUGCUGGGAGUAACAUCGUCGACGCAGCACCGGCAACUUGGAGAGCGUCGUGCCAUUGAAAAGUGGUGAGGCCGUGACCCACAGCAGUGUCCACAUGAUGGCAGGGAACCUGUGGCCCUGGCUACAGCAGCACAGCGUGUAAUCUGGAUGUCACGUCAGGUGAACGAUCUUAUCUGGCCUGAAGUCCUAUGGCGGCAAUGCAUGACUGCAUUGGGGAGGCUGAGGUUCAGGGCAAGAGCCUUUAUGGAAAGGGCAGUAACAGGCACAAGAAGGACCCAGUGAAGGAGGGAUUGGAUCCAGUUCAUCUGAAUGCUGUAAUUGGGCUGCGCAAGUGGACCCACACACACAGUGGCUAUACACGCACCUGGUCAUUCACAAACAUAUGCACACACUAGCAGGUCGUUCGGGAAUUUUGCCAUGCGCCAUUCCUCUUCCCGUUAAGGCACUCUGCACGUCUGACCACCAGGGGACACACUCUCGCUACCUUCGUGUGCACAGCCAUAAAUAAUGGCGCCACCAUGCAUCUGACAUUGCUUGAAGUUCAGCAUCUGUUCGUUCACGUUCCACCAAAUGAUAUAGAAAGUUACAUCCUCCAGCAAGUUCAGGACGACAAAUGUGCAGCUCAAAAGCAGCCUGUCCUCCAUGCUAAGCAGGGAGAUUAAGUAGCCUGGAAAGCAGGUGGUCCUGUAAAUACAGGGUGUUUUUUUUUAGCUGCACCAAAUUUUUAAAAUUAGAAAAAUAUAUACCUUGGUCACGUUAGCUUUACCAUUCGAGUGUACGGAUUGGCGGCCUCUAGAUACAGAGCAAUUUAGUCACUUAAGUGUGUAAUUAGUGAAGUUAAGCUAAUUAACUUUCUAAUUAUCAACUAUAGGUGGCUACAGCAAAUGAGUACUUUGGGGCCCGUCGUCGACACUACCUAUCCCAACGAUGAAAUUUUGAAUAGCGGAGUUCAUGUAGGAGCUACACGAGCAAUUAGUUCCCUUUGGCAAGCUUCUUGAAACCGAAUUAGGCCGCAAAAAGAGCGUCUGUGUCGUCGAUGUCACCGCCCCCCUGCCUUUCGUAACAUCUCCGAGGUAAGCGCCAGUCCGGCCCCGCAAGCAGCUUGCAUUAUUUCCUUGCUAUCUGCGGCGUUCGCAGUCGACGCUACAGACUGAUAUGAUGCCGUGCCUGCAGUAUCUAAAAGCCCAAUUUAAGGAGCAGGGUUGGCGCUACAGCGCAACAUGAUGCCCAACAGAAUGACGAAGUAAAUUUGGUUGCCCACCGUCAUUGAAGCGCUGGGCCACCGCUGCAGACAGACAGUAAAUAAUGCAAGCUGCUCGUUGAGCUGGACCGGCGGAGAAGUGACGAAAGGGGGGAAGGGCGACGACACAGACGCUCUUUUUGCGGCCAGUUUCGGUUUCAAGGAGCCUGCCAAGGGGAACUAAUUGUUCGCGUAGCUCCCACAUGAACUCCGCUAUUCAAAAUUUGACUGUUGGGAUAGGUAGUACUCAUUUGUACUCAGUACUCAUUUGCUGUAGCUACCUAUUGUUGAUAAUUAGAAAAUUAAUUUGUGUAACUUCGGUAAUUAUGCAUGUAAGUGCUGAAAUUGCUAUGUAUCUAGAGGCUGCCAAUCCGUACACUUGAAUGGUAAAGAUAACGUGACCAAGAUUCACAUCUUUCUAAUUUCAAAAAUUUGGUCCAACUAAAAAAAACACCCCGUAUGUGCUAUCUAGUCAUGUUUGCGAUUUCUAUGUCAGCACAUUCUUAAAUAAAUAUAAACCAACUCAACUAUAUAUACAUCUGCUCAUUUAUUACCCUGUUUAAUUUAUAGCUGGCUCAACAAUGCAGCAUUUGUAUCCAAAUGCCUGCAUUGCUAGGCAUCCAAGAUUGAUGGGCAUGGGUAGACUUGCAUAUAUAGAACGAUGGAUAGCCACUCAUUGCCAGAAAUGGUCUGCUGGAGUUUACAUUACAACUCUUUGUAGUGACCAUACUUUCAUGUUGAUAAUUUGUGCCAUGCAAAUUGAGGAAUGUUAAUGUAGUACAUAGAAAGCCAAGUGUGCAGGCAUUCAGAAGGGUUACUAAUGCACUGUGUUAGAAUAGCAAUGAACCAAAAAAAGAUAUCUAUUGACCUGUGUACUGCAAACAUUCGCUUGCAUGACCAGCAAUAGAGAUAUCU